CCUACGGGAGGCAGCAGUCGAGAAUCAUUCACAAUGGGGGAAACCCUGAUCCUGCGACGCCGCGUGGGGGAAUGAAGUCUUUGGAUUUGUAAAUCCUGGGAUUGGGGAAGAAAACAAUGACGAUACCACCACAAGAGGACACGGCUAAGUACGUGCUAGCAGCCGCGGUAAUAAGAAGGUGGCAAGCGUUGUACGGAAUGACUGGGCGGAGAAGAUGCGUAGGAGGGUGCGUAAGUUGUCUGUGAAAAACCGGGGCUCAACCCCCGCGCGACAGCCGAUACUAUUAGACUAGAGUGAAGGAGGGGUAAGCGGAAUUCCCAGUGUAGCAGUGGAAUGCGUAGAUAUUGGGAGGAACACUCGGGGCGAAGGCGAGUUACUGGACAGUAACUGACACUGAGGCACGAAGGCGUGGGGAGCAAACAGGAUUAGAUACCCCAGUAGUC
rnacentral:rRNA from 1 species